GAUGAACGCUGGCGGCGUGCCUAAUACAUGCAAGUCGAGCGAACAGACGAGGAGCUUGCUCCUCUGACGUUAGCGGCGGACGGGUGAGUAACACGUGGAUAACCUACCUAUAAGACUGGGAUAACUUCGGGAAACCGGAGCUAAUACCGGAUAAUAUAUUGAACCGCAUGGUUCAAUAGUGAAAGACGGUUUUGCUGUCACUAUAGAUGGAUCCGCGCCGCAUUAGCUAGUUGGUAAGGUAACGGCUUACCAAGGCAACGAUGCGUAGCCGACCUGAGAGGGUGAUCGGCCACACUGGAACUGAGACACGGUCCAGACUCCUACGGGAGGCAGCAGUAGGGAAUCUUCCGCAAUGGGCGAAAGCUUGACGGAGCAACGCCGCGUGAGUGAUGAAGGUCUUCGGAUCGUAAAACUCUGUUAUUAGGGAAGAACAAAUGUGUAAGUAACUAUGCACGUCUUGACGGUACCUAAUCAGAAAGCCACGGCUAACUACGUG
rnacentral:rRNA from 1 species